rnacentral:rRNA from 1 species
AAAGGAGCAAUCCGCUUUUGAGAUGGCCUCGCGUCCGAUUAGCUAGUUGGUGAGGUAAUGGCACACCAAGGCGACGAUCGGUAGCCGGACUGAGAGGUUGAACGGCCACAUUGGGACUGAGACACGGCCCAGACUCCUACGGGAGGCAGCAGUGGGGAAUAUUGCACAAUGGGGGAAACCCUGAUGCAGCGACGCCGCGUGGAGGAAGAAGGUCUUCGGAUUGUAAACUCCUGUUGUUGGGGAAGAUAAUGACGGUACCCAACAAGGAAGUGACGGCUAACUACGUGCCAGCAGCCGCGGUAAAACGUAGGUCACAAGCGUUGUCCGGAAUUACUGGGUGUAAAGGGAGCGCAGGCGGGAAGACAAGUUGGAAGUGAAAUCUAUGGGCUCAACCCAUAAACUGCUUUCAAAACUGUUUUUCUUGAGUAGUGCAGAGGUAGGCGGAAUUCCCGGUGUAGCGGUGGAAUGCGUAGAUAUCGGGAGGAACACCAGUGGCGAAGGCGGCCUACUGGGCACCAACUGACGCUGAGGCUCGAAAGUGUGGGUAGCAAACAGGAUUAGAUACCCUGGUAGUCCACACCGUAAACGAUGAUUACUAGGUGUUGGAGGAUUGACCCCUUCAGUGCCGCAGUUAACACAAUAAGUAAUCCACCUGGGGAGUACGACCGCAAGGUUGAAACUCAAAGGAAUUGACGGGGGCCCGCACAAGCAGUGGAGUAUGUGGUUUAAUUCGACGCAACGCGAAGAACCUUACCAAGUCUUGACAUCCCUUGACGAUGCUGGAAACAGUAUUUCUCUUCGGAGCAAGGAGACAGGUGGUGCAUGGUUGUCGUCAGCUCGUGUCGUGAGAUGUUGGGUUAAGUCCCGCAACGAGCGCAACCCUUAUGGUCAGUUACUACGCAAGAGGACUCUGGCCAGACUGCCGUUGACAAAACGGAGGAAGGUGGGGAUGACGUCAAAUCAUCAUGCCCUUUAUGACUUGGGCUACACACGUACUACAAUGGCGUUAAACAAAGAGAAGCAAGACCGCGAGGUGGAGCAAAACUCAGAAACAACGUCCCAGUUCGGACUGCAGGCUGCAACUCGCCUGCACGAAGUCGGAAUUGCUAGUAAUCGUGGAUCAGCAUGCCACGGUGAAUACGUUCCCGGGCCUUGCACA